rnacentral:lncRNA from 1 species
GGCAGACUCAGCAUUCUUGCUCCUGGNUUCUNCACCUCUGCAGUCCCCAAGAUGGANAAGAUUCUUCUCUAUGGCUUGUUUGCAGUGUUCUUUGUCACANUCGCCCAGGGUCUUUGGUGUUAUGACAAGUCCAGAUCUUUUCCAGGCCUCCAUGUGGAAUGCUAUGCUUGUGAUGGGACCGAGCAGUGUUACAAGAUAGGCCACUAUGUUGGUAACAGAUUGAAUUUCUGGGAAGCUGGUUGCACCGGUAAUAAAGAUGGCCUAAACUGCAGCUCUAGCACCACGACGGAAAAUGAUUAUUUUGGAACAAGCACAGAGGUUACCACUUGCUGCAGAAAAGAUUGGUGUAACUACGGGUCACCCAAUGAAUUCUCAACUUUCUGAAAGUGAAGUGGUGACACGCAACUGGGAAAGAAAAUGGGAAUAGAUAUUCCACAGCUGCAAGACAUCCCGUA